GCCUAAGCCUUAUUUUAGUAAUUGGUAUUGUCAUCUGAUAAAGUCAUGUCGAUUAUAAGAUACACAGUUUUUUUUGCUUUCAAAUCUUUCUGUUUGAACCCGUCGACCUGGAACUUAUCAAUUAUUGGUAAUAUUAAUUAUUUGGAAAACAAAAGGUCCUGGCUAUCCAGGAAUGGAGUAUUUUUUAAUCAACAGCAUUGUCCUAUAUUAGUUAUCUUAGAAAGUCUUGCUGAUUGCUGAAUAAAACUACAAUAGGGAACAAUUUGACAAUGAUAGAAUUUAGUAGUGUCAGCCCUUUGAUUAUGACCCGUGUAUAUAGCAAAAUCCUAAAUACACCGUUUGGUGGUGCGCCUGUCAAAUGCGGAACGUACAGAUAAGGUAAUAGCUAACAGGUGAAUAUACUAUUGGUAUCGGUAUCGGAUUCGACCCGGAACUUGUUAAUUAUUGGCAAUAUUAAUUAUGUGGAAAACAAAAGGGUCUGGAGUGGUGUAAUUUUUAAUCUACACCAUUGUCCUAUAUUAGUUCUAUAUAGAGUUGAAUUCUUUGAUUUGUCGUUUUUACCCGAUGACGGCUGACAAAUUGGACAUCGUAAUUUUAGUAUUAUAGAU
rnacentral:lncRNA from 1 species